rnacentral:rRNA from 1 species
CUUAUUGAGAGUUUGAUCCUGGCUCAGGAUGAACGCUGGCGGCGUGGAUAAGGCAUGCAAGUCACGGGGGCUCUUCGGAGCAACCGGCAAACGGGUUAGUAAUACAUAGGAAUCUACCGAGAAGUUUGGCAUAGCUUUCCGAAAGGGAAGGUAAUUCCAAAUGGCCUCAAUGAGCAAUUAUUGAGUAAAGGCAAUAGCAAUAUUGCCGCUUCUUGAGGAGCCUGUGUCCUAUCAGCUUGUUGGUGAGGUAAUGGCUCACCAAGGCUAUGACGGGUAGGGGAUGUGAGAGCAUGAUCCCCAACAUUGGGACUGAGACACUGCCCAAACACCUACGGGUGGCUGCAGUCGAGAAUCUUCGGCAAUGGGCGAAAGCCUGACCGAGCGACGCCGCGUGGAGGAUGAAGGCCUUCGCGUUGUAAACUCCUUUUCUCACAGAAAAAGAAAUAUCACUUGUGGUAUUUUUGAUGGUAUGUGAGGAAUAAGAGGUUGCUAACUCUGAGCCAGCAGCAGCGGUAAUACAGAGACCUCAAGCGUUAUCCGGAUUUAUUGGGCGUAAAGCGUGUGUAGGCGG